rnacentral:rRNA from 1 species
GGAGCGAAGCGACGUCAAAGCGUUCAUUAAAGUCGAGUUGGCUUAGGGAUACGUUCGUUGGGUAGGGGAGCGUUCUGUAAGCCUGUGAAGGUGGCCUGUGAGGGUUGCUGGAGGUAUCAGAAGUGCGAAUGCUGACAUAAGUAACGAUAAAGCGGGUGAAAAGCCCGCUCGCCGGAAGACCAAGGGUUCCUGUCCAACGUUAAUCGGGGCAGGGUGAGUCGACCCCUAAGGCGAGGCCGAAAGGCGUAGUCGAUGGGAAACGGGUUAAUAUUCCCGUACUUGGUGUUACUGCGAAGGGGGGACGGAGAAGGCUAUGUUGGCCGGGCGACGGUUGUCCCGGUUUAAGCGUGUAGGUGUGUGUUCCAGGUAAAUCCGGUUCACUUUAACACUGAGGCGUGACGACGAGGCACUACGGUGCUGAAGCAACAAAUGCCCUGCUUCCAGGAAAAGCCUCUAAGCAUCAGGUAACAUCAAAUCGUACCCCAAACCGACACAGGUGGUCAGGUAGAGAAUACCAAGGCGCUUGAGAGAACUCGGGUGAAGGAACUAGGCAAAAUGGUGCCGUAACUUCGGGAGAAGGCACGCUGACACGUAGGUGAAGUGAUUUACUCAUGGAGCUGAAGUCAGUCGAAGAUACCAGCUGGCUGCAACUGUUUAUUAAAAACACAGCACUGUGCAAACACGAAAGUGGACGUAUACGGUGUGACGCCUGCCCGGUGCCGGAAGGUUAAUUGAUGGGGUCAGCGCAAGCGAAGCUCCUGAUCGAAGCCCCGGUAAACGGCGGCCGUAACUAUAACGGUCCUAAGGUAGCGAAAUUCCUUGUCGGGUAAGUUCCGACCUGCACGAAUGGCGUAAUGAUGGCCAGGCUGUCUCCACCCGAGACUCAGUGAAAUUGAACUCGCUGUGAAGAUGCAGUGUACCCGCGGCAAGACGGAAAGACCCCGUGAACCUUUACUAUAGCUUGACACUGAACAUUGAGCCUUGAUGUGUAGGAUAGGUGGGAGGCUUUGAAGUGUGGACGCCAGUCUGCAUGGAGCCGACCUUGAAAUACCACCCUUUAAUGUUUGAUGUUCUAACGUGGACCCGUUACCCGGGUUGCGGACAGUGUCUGGUGGGUAGUUUGACUGGGGCGGUCUCCUCCUAAAGAGUAACGGAGGAGCACGAAGGUUGGCUAAUCCUGGUCGGACAUCAGGAGGUUAGUGCAAUGGCAUAAGCCAGCUUGACUGCGAGCGUGACGGCGCGAGCAGGUGCGAAAGCAGGUCAUAGUGAUCCGGUGGUUCUGAAUGGAAGGGCCAUCGCUCAACGGAUAAAAGGUACUCCGGGGAUAACAGGCUGAUACCGCCCAAGAGUUCAUAUCGACGGCGGUGUUUGGCACCUCGAUGUCGGCUCAUCACAUCCUGGGGCUGAAGUAGGUCCCAAGGGUAUGGCUGUUCGCCAUUUAAAGUGGUACGCGAGCUGGGUUUAGAACGUCGUGAGACAGUUCGGUCCCUAUCUGCCGUGGGCGCUGGAGAACUGAGGGGGGCUGCUCCUAGUACGAGAGGACCGGAGUGGACGCAUCACUGGUGUUCGGGUUGUCAUGCCAAUGGCACUGCCCGGUAGCUAAAUGCGGAAGAGAUAAGUGCUGAAAGCAUCUAAGCACGAAACUUGCCCCGAGAUGAGUUCUCCCUGAGACUUUAGGUCUCCUGAAGGAACGUUGAAGACGACGACGUUGAUAGGCCGGGUGUGUAAGCGCAGCGAUGCGUUGAGCUAACCGGUACUAAUGAACCGUGAGGCUUAACCUUACAACGCCGAAG